rnacentral:rRNA from 1 species
UGGGGAAUUUUGGACAAUGGGCGCAAGCCUGAUCCAGCCAUGCCGCGUGCGGGAAGAAGGCCUUCGGGUUGUAAACCGCUUUUGUCAGGGAAGAAAUCUUCUGAGUUAAUACCUCGGGAGGAUGACGGUACCUGAAGAAUAAGCACCGGCUAACUACGUGCCAGCAGCCGCGGUAAUACGUAGGGUGCAAGUGUUAAUCGGAAUUACUGGGCGUAAAGCGUGCGCAGGCGGUUUUGUAAGACAGAGGUGAAAUCCCCGGGCUCAACCUGGGAACUGCCUUUGUGACUGCAAGGCUUGAGUGCGGCAGAGGGGGAUGGAAUUCCGCGUGUAGCAGUGAAAUGCGUAGAUAUGCGGAGGAACACCGAUGGCGAAGGCAAUCCCCUGGGCCUGCACUGACGCUCAUGCACGAAAGCGUGGGGAGCAAACAGGAUUAGAUACCCUGGUAGUCCACGCCCUAAACGAUGUCAACUGGUUGUUGGGAAGGUUCCUUCUCAGUAACGUAGCUAACGCGUGAAGUUGACCGCCUGGGGAGUACGGCCGCAAGGUUG